rnacentral:rRNA from 1 species
CGAUAGUGAACCAGUACCGUGAGGGAAAGGCGAAAAGAACCCCGGCGAGGGGAGUGAAAAAGAACCUGAAACCGUGUACGUACAAGCAGUGGGAGCACCCUUUGGGGUGUGACUGCGUACCUUUUGUAUAAUGGGUCAGCGACUUAUAUUCUGUAGCAAGGUUAACCGAAUAGGGGAGCCGGAGGGAAACCGAGUCUUAAUUGGGCGUUAAGUUGCAGGGUAUAGACCCGAAACCCGGUGAUCUAGCCAUGGGCAGGUUGAAGGUUGGGUAACACUAACUGGAGGACCGAACCGACUAAUGUUGAAAAAUUAGCGGAUGACCUGUGGCUGGGGGUGAAAGGCCAAUCAAACCGGGAGAUAGCUGGUUCUCCCCGAAAGCUAUUUAGGUAGCGCCUCGUGAAUUCAUCUCCGGGGGUAGAGCACUGUUUCGGCUAGGGGGCCAUCCCGGCUUACCAACCCGAUGCAAACUGCGAAUACCGGAGAAUGUUAUCACGGGAGACACACGGCGGGUGCUAACGUCCGUCGUGAAGAGGGAAACAACCCAGACCGCCAGCUAAGGUCCCAAAGUCAUGGUUAAGUGGGAAACGAUGUGGGAAGGCCCAGACAGCCAGGAUGUUGGCUUAGAAGCAGCCAUCAUUUAAAGAAAGCGUAAUAGCUCACUGGUCGAGUCGGCCUGCGCGGAAGAUGUAACGGGGCUAAACCAUGCACCGAAGCUGCGGCAGCGACGUUUAUGCGUUGUUGGGUAGGGGAGCGUUCUGUAAGCCUGCGAAGGUGGCCUGUGAGGGUUGCUGGAGGUAUCAGAAGUGCGAAUGCUGACAUAAGUAACGAUAAAGCGGGUGAAAAGCCCGCUCGCCGGAAGACCAAGGGUUCCUGUCCAACGUUAAUCGGGGCAGGGUGAGUCGACCCCUAAGGCGAGGCCGAAAGGCGUAGUCGAUGGGAAACGGGUUAAUAUUCCCGUACUUGGUGUUA